rnacentral:piRNA from 1 species
AACAAGGGAGGAGAGGACAAACUAAAGAU